UACGUAGGUGACCAGCGUUGUCCGGAUUUACUGGGCGUAAAGAGCGCGCAGGCGGUCGUUCAAGUCGAGUGUGAAAGCCCCGGGCUCAACCUGGGAAUUGCAUUUGAGACUGCGUAGCUAGGGUGCGGAAGAGGGAAGCGGAAUUUCCGGUGUAGCGGUGAAAUGCGUAGAUAUCGGAAGGAACACCAGUGGCGAAAGCGGCUUCCUGGUCCAGCACCGACGUCAGGCACGAAAGCGUGGGGAGCAAACAGG
rnacentral:rRNA from 1 species